rnacentral:misc_RNA from 1 species
GCAUGAUCAUCAUCUUUACAGAAUUGCAACAUCUCUUUCAGAGUUUUUAUAUUCGACUCUGGAUCUGCCAGCAAUGCGAUGCCCAGCUCUGCUAAUUUAAGCUUCUUGUUUUCAAACACUUCUUCAGCAGUGAGAUCUUCUUUCACCUUGGCCAGCACAGCGGCUUGUGGGGUUUCUUGCACUUCUUCUGUCUUCCCCAACUCCUUCCCUUGUUUCUUUGCCUCUUUCUUGCUUUUUUUCAGCUUUGCCCUCCUUUCUGCUUUCGUCAGUCUCACUAUACCCUUAUCAGCGCCGGAAUCAUCCUUCUCAUCAUCUGCGUCCCGACCAUUUUCAGAU